CCUACGGGUGGCAGCAGUGAGGAAUAUUGGUCAAUGGACGAGAGUCUGAACCAGCCAAGUAGCGUGAAGGAUGCCUGCCCUAUGGGUUGUAAACUUCUUUUAUCUGGGAAUAAAACGUUCCACGUGUGGGCUUUUGUAUGUACCCUAUGAAUAAGGAUCGGCUAACUCCGUGCCAGCCGCCGCGGUAAUACGGAGGAUCCGAGCGUUAUCCGGAUUUAGUGGGUUUAAAGGGAGCGGAGGUGGAUUGUUAAGUCAGUUGGGAAAGUUUGCGGCUCAACCGUAAAAUUGCAGUUGAAACUGGCAGUCUGGAGUAGAGUAGAGGUGGGCGGAAUUCGUGGUGUAGCGGUGAAAUGCUUAGAUAUCACGAAGAACUCCGAUUGCGAAGGCAGUGCACUGGACUGCAACUGACACUGAGGCUCGAAAGUGUGGGUAUCAAACAGGAUUAGAUACCCGGGUAGUC
rnacentral:rRNA from 1 species